GAUGAACGCUGGCGGCAGGCCUAACACAUGCAAGUCGAGCGGUAAGCCUUCGGGCUAGGACCGUCGCACGGGGGCGUAACGGGUAGACAAUCGUGCUUUUAUCCGCGUGGUAGCCCGGAUAAAUUUGGAUUAAUACCCUAUGGUAUAAGAACACGGCAUCGUUCACUUAUUAGGGCUACGGCGUUACAGCGGGAGUAUGCGUUCUAUUAGCUAGUUGGAGAGGUAACGGCUCCCCAAGGAGACGAUAGUUAGGGGUUCUGAGAGGGAUGUCCCCCACACUGGUACCGAGAUACGGACCAGAGUGAUACGGGAGGGAGCAGUGAGGGAGACUGGACAAUGGUCGGAAGACUGAUCCAGCCAUGCCGCGUGCAGGAAGACGGCGUUAGGGGUUGUAGACUGCUUUUGGAAGGGAAGAAUAAGGAGUACGGGUACGUGGAUGACGGUACCUGACGAAGAAGCAUCGGCUAACUACGUG
rnacentral:rRNA from 1 species